CUGGGCUGGGCGGUGGCGGCCGCGUCUGCACUUCCCCCCCUGCGCGCCUCUGGAGAGCCCGGGAGAGACGCACCCUCAGCUUUUGACCAGCUUCUGUGGAACAUCUCUACCCUGCCCUGCAGACUACCCUGUGACUCCUGGAAGUCUAGGUCCUUUGUUGCAUGGAGAGGAUGCAAACCACGUGCUGCAGCUCCCGAUGCCUUUUCCGAGCAGAUUCCUCAGAGGGGGUGCCUGACAUCAGAGAUGAAUUUCAGCCAAUGCCUCCGAAGAGGCAGAUGCAGAAACCUCACUCCUCUCAGUAACCCUGAGCAAAGCACUCAACCUCUCUGAGCCUCGGGUUUCCAUCUGUAAAAUGGGCUCAAGCUAAGUUGUCUCUCCAGACUGUCAGGCGGCGCGCAGGGAGG
rnacentral:lncRNA from 10 species